UACAUGUGAUGAAAUCUAUGACGGGCGGACAGAGAAAACACGUGCUGAACGUCAUGUUCUGAUGGUA